GACGAACGCUGGCGGCGUGCCUAAUACAUGCAAGUAGAACGCACAGUUUAUACCGUAGCUUGCUACACCAUAGACUGUGAGUUGCGAACGGGUGAGUAACGCGUAGGUAACCUGCCUGGUAGCGGGGGAUAACUAUUGGAAACGAUAGCUAAUACCGCAUAAUAUUGAUUAUUGCAUGAUAAUUGAUUGAAAGAUGCUAUUGCAUCACUACCAGAUGGACCUGCGUUGCAUUAGCUAGUAGGUGAGGUAACGGCUCACCUAGGCGACGAUACAUAGCCGACCUGAGAGGGUGAUCGGCCACACUGGGACUGAGACACGGCCCAGACUCCUACGGGAGGCAGCAGUAGGGAAUCUUCGGCAAUGGACGAAAGUCUGACCGAGCAACGCCGCGUGAGUGAAGAAGGUUUUCGGAUCGUAAAGCUCUGUUGUAAGAGAAGAACGGGUGUGAGAGUGGAAAGUUCACACUGUGACGGUAUCUUACCAGAAAGGGACGGCUAACUACGUG
rnacentral:rRNA from 1 species